AGGAUUGCGAGCAAUCAGUUGUGCUCCCGCCGGUCUUCAAUAGGGCUUAUUCUCGCUUGGGAGUCAUUUGGGUUGGCGGCUUCUUUGCUUUGUUUCCCUUUUUCUUUUGGAUGCCUUUUUUCCUUUGCCUUGUGGAAUUUUCUCAACCCGUCAGAAAUUCGCCAGCCUCGCGAUCAGCGGCUUCCUCCCCUUCCGCCGCGAUAAAUAUAUGGAUCACAGAUACUUUGCCUCAGUCUUAU